CAGUAAUAUAUUACUAAAGCUUGCUUUAUAAGAAUUUUUAACAGAAUUUCUUCUGUUCAUAUUUUAAUACAAUUUUAUGAAGCUGAACGUCGGCGACUAAUUACCUAUUAGUCGAUUACUACGGUCAAUAAUUAGAUCCAUUAGGUGUAUAAUGUAUUUUGCAUUACGUUCAUACCACACAGCAACAGAGAACUUCCUAGAAUCAUCCUAACAGCAGAGCAAAAGAAUUCUGUUCACGGAGGAAAUUUAAGUGUUGCAUUUGAGAGAGACCAGUUUCAGAAGUGUAAAAGGAUGAAGAAUAAGGAAGAGAUGCAUUUAUGGGACGUUUAAAGAUGUAAAGACUGCAUACAAUAUGCCAAAAUAUGCACAAUAUGCAAAGUAUAGUACUCGUUAGAGGAUCAACCAAAUCUAGCGAAGAAAUCUAACCAAGC
rnacentral:misc_RNA from 1 species